CCUACGGGAGGCAGCAGUGGGGAAUAUUGCACAAUGGGGGAAACCCUGAUGCAGCGACGCCGCGUGAGGGAAGAAGUAUUUCGGUAUGUAAAGCUCUAUCAGCAGGGAAGAAGCAAGACGGUACCUGACUAAGAAGCCCCGGCUAACUACGUGCCAGCAGCCGCGGUAAUACGUAGGGGGCAAGCGUUAUCCGGAUUUACUGGGUGUAACGGGAGCGUAGACGGUAUGGCAAGUCUGAAGUGAAAGCCCAGGGCUUAACCCUGGGACUGCUUUGGAAACUGUUAGACUAGAGUGCUGGAGGGGUAAGUGGAAUUCAUAGUGUAGCGGUGAAAUGCGUAGAUAUUAGGAGGAACACCAGUGGCGAAGGCGGGUGACUGGACAGUAACUGACGUUGAGGCUCGAAAGCGUGGGGAGCAAACAGGAUUAGAUACCCCAGUAGUC
rnacentral:rRNA from 1 species